AUGUUGAUUGACAAGACUUGCUGGAAAUACAAGGAUUUUCCAAAGUCAAAGAAAAAUGACGAAGCAGAGUCUCAGGGAAGCAUUGAUAUGUUCAAGCUCUGCAACUUGAAGCCAGCUUUGCCAACCACCUUUCCCGUGCCAGAUUUCAGCGACAAAGAUAUGUGUGAGAAGAUCAACUUUGCCAUUGACAAGAGCCUGUUCUUAUCAACUGAUGCUGAAAAGAAUCAAAUUGACAUGGAGGAAGCAGGAAAGGGAGAUGCCCUGGUCCUUGAACCCUUACAAAGAUCAAACUCUUAUCAUGGUGACGGGUUCUGCGAUGCACCAUCUUUUGACCUCGACAUAGAUGGUGAUGCUCCAGCACCUGCUCCAGCAGCAGAAACAGCGGAAGCCGGUGUGAUCAGCAUCGAUGAGUGUGAGUUAGACCCAGCAGCUGUGAAUGAAGGAUGUGAUGCUGCUGAUGCUGUCAAGGCAAUAGCUCAAGAACUAGAUGUUAGUUCACCAGAGAAUUGCCACACCCCGAUAUGCGCAGAACCAGAACUUGGCAUGAGCAGUUCUUCGGGGCCACCUCUUGCACGAAGACAGAGGAUGGUAAGAAGGCCCGCAGCAUCUCAAAGGUCUCCAUUCAUCGACUACAACAAGAACAAGACUUUCAGCACCAAUGAGGUAGUGAACAAGCAUUACGCUGCCCUCUUGUAUUGGGUCAGGCAUCACAAAGGAGCAGAUGAUGGAGCUACCAGCCCUGAGAUAAUCAGGUAUGGUGCUUUCUACAUUUCUUUAAAGGAGUUAGUUGAUUCGAUGAAGCCGGUUCAAUGGUUGUCAAAAAUUGUUAUUGAGACUGGAAUCUUACACAUAAUGGAUAACUUACCAGAAGGGUCAAAGAAGGUUGUUAUGCCUCUGAGGUUUUCUAUAAAAUUAUAG
rnacentral:rRNA from 1 species